rnacentral:rRNA from 1 species
AACGAACGCUGGCGGCAUGCCUAACACAUGCAAGUCGAACGAUGCCUUCGGGCAUAGUGGCGCACGGGUGCGUAACGCGUGGGAAUCUGCCUUUCGGUUCGGAAUAACUCAGGGAAACUUGAGCUAAUACCGGAUAACGUCGCAAGACCAAAGAUUUAUCACCGAAAGAUGAGCCCGCGUAGGAUUAGCUAGUUGGUGAGGUAAAGGCUCACCAAGGCGACGAACCUUAGCUGGUCUGAGAGGAUGAUCAGCCACACUGGGACUGAGACACGGCCCAGACUCCUACGGGAGGCAGCAGUGGGGAAUAUUGGACAAUGGGCGAAAGCCUGAUCCAGCAAUGCCGCGUGAGUGAUGAAGGCCUUAGGGUUGUAAAGCUCUUUUACCCGGGAAGAUAAUGACGGUACCGGGAGAAUAAGCCCCGGCUAACUCCGUG